AGCUGGCUGCAACUGUUUAUUAAAAACACAGCACUGUGCAAACACGAAAGUGGACGUAUACGGUGUGACGCCUGCCCGGUGCCGGAAGGUUAAUUGAUGGGGUCAGCGCAAGCGAAGCUCCUGAUCGAAGCCCCGGUAAACGGCGGCCGUAACUAUAACGGUCCUAAGGUAGCGAAAUUCCUUGUCGGGUAAGUUCCGACCUGCACGAAUGGCGUAAUGAUGGCCAGGCUGUCUCCACCCGAGACUCAGUGAAAUUGAACUCGCUGUGAAGAUGCAGUGUACCCGCGGCAAGACGGAAAGACCCCGUGAACCUUUACUAUAGCUUGACACUGAACAUUGAGCCUUGAUGUGUAGGAUAGGUGGGAGGCUUUGAAGUGUGGACGCCAGUCUGCAUGGAGCCGACCUUGAAAUACCACCCUUUAAUGUUUGAUGUUCUAACGUGGACCCGUGAUCCGGGUUGCGGACAGUGUCUGGUGGGUAGUUUGACUGGGGCGGUCUCCUCCUAAAGAGUAACGGAGGAGCACGAAGGUUGGCUAAUCCUGGUCGGACAUCAGGAGGUUAGUGCAAUGGCAUAAGCCAGCUUGACUGCGAGCGUGACGGCGCGAGCAGGUGCGAAAGCAGGUCAUAGUGAUCCGGUGGUUCUGAAUGGAAGGGCCAUCGCUCAACGGAUAAAAGGUACUCCGGGGAUAACAGGCUGAUACCGCCCAAGAGUUCAUAUCGACGGCGGUGUUUGGCACCUCGAUGUCGGCUCAUCACAUCCUGGGGCUGAAGUAGGUCCCAAGGGUAUGGCUGUUCGCCAUUUAAAGUGGUACGCGAGCUGGGUUUAGAACGUCGUGAGACAGUUCGGUCCCUAUCUGCCGUGGGCGCUGGAGAACUGAGGGGGGCUGCUCCUAGUACGAGAGGACCGGAGUGGACGCAUCACUGGUGUUCGGGUUGUCAUGCCAAUGGCACUGCCCGGUAGCUAAAUGCGGAAGAGAUAAGUGCUGAAAGCAUCUAAGCACGAAACUUGCCCCGAGAUGAGUUCUCCCUGAGACUUUAGGUCUCCUGAAGGAACGUUGAAGACGACGACGUUGAUAGGCCGGGUGUGUAAGCGCAGCGAUGCGUUGAGCUAACCGGUACUAAUGAACCGUGAGGCUUAACCUUACAACGCCGAAG
rnacentral:rRNA from 1 species